rnacentral:rRNA from 1 species
CCAACGGGGGGCAGCAGUGGGGAAUAUUGGGCAAUGGGCGAAAGCCUGACCCAGCAACGCCGCGUGAGGGAAGAAGGUCUUCGGAUUGUAAACCUCUGUCCUUGGGGACGAAAAAAAUGACGGUACCCAAGGAGGAAGCCCCGGCUAACUACGUGCCAGCAGCCGCGGUAAUACGUAGGGGGCAAGCGUUGUCCGGAAUUACUGGGCGUAAAGGGUGUGUAGGCGGUUGCCUAAGUCAGAUGUGAAAUCCCCGGGCUUAACUCGGGUGGUGCAUUUGAAACUGGGUUACUAGAGUGCAGGAGAGGAAAGCGGAAUUCCUAGUGUAGCGGUGAAAUGCGUAGAUAUUAGGAGGAACACCAGUGGCGAAGGCGGCUUUCUGGACUGUAACUGACGCUGAGGCACGAAAGCGUGGGGAGCAAACA